UCCUUUGAAAGACUAUGUAAAACAACACCAAAAACUACGAUAGAUAAAUUUUAAAUAAUUCAUCUCCCCGAAAGAAGUUUUUUGAGUUAUUUGAUCACCUCCAAAAUGAAUGCACAAGCCAUCAAGGAAAUGAAGGACACAAAUGCAGAAAGCCCCAAAGAGACAAAGGUGAACACAGUAGACGUCCGGUCAUCGGCGGGGCAGCAAGGCCAUGAACAGAGAAAUGUGCAAGUGGUUCACCAGCCACAUCCCUCUGCGAAAACAAAUACCAGCGGCGGUGUCUUGACCGGUGCUGCCGCUGCUGUGGCAACUACCCUUCAGUCCGCCAAGGAUGCUAUCUCCAAACACGAAUAGCAACAUUACUUUUCGGACCUUGUCAUGAGCAUUGCCUACGAGCAUUUAUUGGAAAAAAAUGUAACUGUAGGCUUUUCUGUGGCUGGAUUAUAUGGUUUUCAUUUUCCCACAUUGCCUUAGUUUUAGGCUGGUAGAAACUUGCUACUCUGCUUGGAAGCUUAUGCAUUGCAUAGAAAACACGUAUUAAUACUUUUAUGUUAUAAAUUUUGGAUCAAAUACAAUCUUCCAAUAACUGUUAUGUAAUUGUUCAAUAUUGAUGCAUUAGCGUUUAUGGUAAUUAUUUAAAACGUGAAAA